rnacentral:rRNA from 1 species
CAUACGCACUACGGUGGAAAGCGGGGGAUUCUUCGGAACCUCGCGCUGAUAGAUGAGUCCGCGUCUGAUUAGCUAGUUGGUAGGGUAAAGGCCUACCAAGGCGAUGAUCAGUAACUGGUUUGAGAGGAUGAUCAGUCACACUGGAACUGAGACACGGUCCAGACUCCUACGGGAGGCAACAGUGGGGAAUAUUGCACAAUGGGCGCAAGCCUGAUGCAGCGACGCCGCGUGCGGGAAGAAGGCCUUCGGGUUGUAAACCGCUUUCAAUUGGGAAGAAAGAGAUGAGGAUUAAUACCCCUCUGAUUUGACGGUACCUUUGAGAAGAAGCACCGGCUAAAUUCGUGCCAGCAGCCGCGGUAAUACGAAAGGUGCAAGCGUUGUUCGGAUUUACUGGGCGUAAAGAGAUCGUAGGUGGUUUGUUAAGUCGGAUGUGAAAUCCCGGGGCUCAACCCCGGAACUGCAUUCGAUACUGGCAGACUUGAGUUCGGGAGGGGUAAGCGGAAUUCCGUGUGUAGCAGUGAAAUGCGUAGGUAUACGGAGGAACACCUGAGGCGAAGGCGGCUUACUGGACCGAUACUGGACACUGAGGAUCGAAAAGCGUGGGUAGGCAAACAGGGAUUAGAUACCUUGGUAGUUCACGCCCUAAAACGAUGUCUACUAAGCCGUAGCGGGUAUCGACCCCCUGCUGUUGGCGAAGCUAACGCGAUAAAGUAGACCCGCCUGGGGGAGUACGGUCGCAAGAUUAAAACUCAAAGGAAUUGACGGGGGGCCCCGCACAAGGCGGUUGGAGCAUGUGGUUUUAAUUUCGACGCAACGCGAAGAACCUUACCUGGGUUUGACAUCCUUGGAAUUUCUCUAGAGAUAGAGAAGUGCCUUCGGGAACCGGGU